rnacentral:rRNA from 1 species
AGAGCGAACGCUGGCGGCAGGCUUAACACAUGCAAGUCGAGCGGGCGUAGCAAUACGUCAGCGGCAGACGGGUGAGUAACGCGUGGGAACAUACCUUUUGGUUCGGAACAACACAGGGAAACUUGUGCUAAUACCGGAUAAGCCCUUACGGGGAAAGAUUUAUCGCCGAAAGAUUGGCCCGCGUCUGAUUAGCUAGUUGGUGAGGUAAUGGCUCACCAAGGCGACGAUCAGUAGCUGGUCUGAGAGGAUGAUCAGCCACAUUGGGACUGAGACACGGCCCAAACUCCUACGGGAGGCAGCAGUGGGGAAUAUUGGACAAUGGGCGCAAGCCUGAUCCAGCCAUGCCGCGUGAGUGAUGAAGGCCCUAGGGUUGUAAAGCUCUUUUGUGCGGGAAGAUAAUGACGGUACCGCAAGAAUAACGCCCCGGCUAACUUCGCGCCAGCAGCCGC